AACCGAAAGGGAAUCGGGUUAAUAUUCCCGAACCCGGAUGCAGAGAUCGACCCUCGCGGGUCUGAAGCGGCAACGCGUAACGAACUCGGAGAAUGCCGGCGGGGGCCCCGGGAAGAGUUUUCUUUUCUUUGUAAAGGACGGACUCCCUGGAAUCGGCUCGCCCGGAGAGAGGGAUGUUGUUCCUGUAAAGCACCGCGGCUCUUGCGGUGUCCGGAGCGCUCUCGCCGGCCCUUGAAAAUCCGAGGGAGUGAAACGACGAUUUCCGCACCGGACCGUACCCAUAUCCGCAGCAGGUCUCCAAGGUGAACAGCC
rnacentral:rRNA from 1 species